UGGGGAAUAUUGCACAAUGGGCGAAAGCCUGAUGCAGCGACGCCGCGUGCGGGAUGAAGGCCUUCGGGUUGUAAACCGCUUUUGAUUGGGAGCAAGCGAGAGUGAGUGUACCUUUCGAAUAAGCACCGGCUAACUACGUGCCAGCAGCCGCGGUAAUACGUAGGGUGCAAGCGUUAUCCGGAAUUAUUGGGCGUAAAGAGCUCGUAGGCGGUUUGUCGCGUCUGGUGUGAAAGUCCAUCGCUUAACGGUGGAUCUGCGCCGGGUACGGGCAGGCUAGAGUGCGACAGGGGAGACUGGAAUUCCCGGUGUAACGGUGGAAUGUGUAGAUAUCGGGAAGAACACCAAUGGCGAAGGCAGGUCUCUGGGUCGUCACUGACGCUGAGGAGCGAAAGCGUGGGGAGCGAACAGGAUUAGAUACCCUGGUAGUCCACGCCGUAAACGGUGGAUGCUGGAUGUGGGGCCCCAUUCCACGGGUUCCGUGUCGGAGCUAACGCGUUAAGCAUCCCGCCUGGGGAGUACGGCCGCAAGGCUAAAAACUCUAAAGUGAAUUGAC
rnacentral:rRNA from 1 species